GAUGAACGCUGGCGGCGUGCCUAAUACAUGCAAGUCGAGCGAACGGACGAGAAGCUUGCUUCUCUGAUGUUAGCGGCGGACGGGUGUGUAACACGUGGAUAACCUACCUAUAAGACUGGGAUAACUUCGGGAAACCGGAGCAAAUACCGGAUAAUAUUCUGAACCGCAUGGUUCAAAAGUGAAAGACAGUCUUGCUGUCACUUCUAGAUGGAUCUGCGCUGCAUUAGCUAGUUGGUAAGGUAACGGCUUACCACGGCAACGAGGCAUAGCCGAGCUGUGGGAGGGAUCGGCCGCACUGGAACUGAAACACGGUCCAGGCUCCUACGGGAGGCAGCAGUAGGCAAUCUGCCGCAGUAGGCGGAAGCCUGGCGGAGCGGCGCCGCGUGAGUGAUGAAGGUCUUCGGAUCGUAAAGCUCUGUUAUUAAGGAAGAACAUAUGUGUAAGUAACUGUGCACAUCUUGACGGUACCUAAUCAGAAAGCCACGGCUAACUACGUG
rnacentral:rRNA from 1 species